ACUUUUAUAAUUUAUUUAGAAUAUCGCGCUGAAGAUGCGGAAGAGGUAGUUUACCUGGAAGUA
rnacentral:tRNA from 1 species